rnacentral:lncRNA from 1 species
GAGUAAUAUUUAACAAGAGUGCACACGCUGAAAUGUCUCGCCUUCUAUAUUAAUCAUUGAUAUUAUGUUGAUAGUCCUAAGUAUAAAGCUUUAUAACAACUGUCUCAUUAACUUAACAUUAACCAAAAUAACUAAACAAAGACCAAUGAACCAUGAAAAUGAGGUCAAGGUCAGAUGAACCAUGCCAGGCAGACAUGUACAGCUAACAAUGCUUCUAUACAACAUAUAUAGUUGACCUAUUACUUAUAGUUUAAGAAAAAUUGACCAAAACAUAAAAAAUUAACACUGUGCAAUGAACCAUGAAAAUGAGGUCAUGGUCAAAAGAAACCUGCCCUACUGACAUAAAGAUCAUAAAAUAUUUCCAUACACCAAAUAUAGUUGACCUAUGGCAUAUAGUAUUAGAUAAAUAGACCAAAACUCAAAAACUUAACUUUGACCACUGAACCAUGAAAAUGAGGUCAAGGUCACAUGACAUCUGCCCGCUAGACAUGUACACCUUACAAUCAUUCCAUACAACAAAUACAGUAGACCUAUUGCAUAUAGUAUGAAAAAAACAGACCAAAACACAAAAAUUUAACUAUAACCACUGAACCAUGAAAAUGAGGUCAAGGUCAGAUGACACCUGCCAGUUGGACAUGUACACCUUACAGUCCUUCUAUACAC